AUUGAACGCUGGCGGCAGGCCUAACACAUGCAAGUCGAGCGGAGCGGCGGACGGGUGCGUAAUGCCUAGGAAUCUGCCUGGUAGUGGGGGAUAACGUCCGGUACCGGGCGCUAAUACCGCAUACUAUCAGAUGAGCCUAGGUCCGAUUAGGUAGUUGUAGGGGUAAAGGCAUACCAAGGCGACGAUCCGUAACUGGUCUGAGAGGAUGAUCAGUCACACUGGAACUGAGACACGGUCCAGACUCCUACGGGAGGCAGCAGUGGGGAAUAUUGGACAAUGGGCGAAAGCCUGAUGCAGCCAUGCCGCGUGUGUGAAGAAGGCCUUAGGAUUGUAAAGUACUUUAAGCUGGGAGGCGUUACCAACAGAAUAAGCACCGGCUAACUCCGUGCCAGCAGCCGCGGUAAUAC
rnacentral:rRNA from 1 species